GAUGAAGAACGUAGCGAAAUGCGAUAAGUAGUGUGAAUUGCAGAAUUCAGUGAAUCAUCGAAUCUUUGAACGCACAUUGCGCCCCCUGGUAUUCCGGGGGGCAUGCCUGUCCGAGCGUCAUUGCUGCCCUCAAGCACGGCUUGUGUGUUGGGCCCCGUCCCCUCCCCCGGGGACGGGCCCGAAAGGCAGCGGCGGCACCGCGUCCGAUCCUCGAGCGUAUGGGGCUUUGUCACCCGCUCUGUAGGCCCGGCCGGCGCCAGCCGACACCCAACUUUUAUUUCUAAGGUUGACCUCGGAUCAGGUAGGGAUACCCGCUGAACUUAAGCAUAUCAAUAAGCGGAGGA
rnacentral:misc_RNA from 1 species